UACAGAGGUCUCAAGCGUUGUUCGGAUUCAUUGGGCGUAAAGGGUGCGUAGGCGGCGCGGUAAGUCGGGUGUGAAAUCUCGGAGCUUAACUCCGAAAUUGCAUUCGAUACUGCCGUGCUUGAGGACUGGAGAGGAGACUGGAAUUUACGGUGUAGCGGUGAAAUGCGUAGAGAUCCGGAGGAACACCAGCGGCGAAGGCGGCAUCCUGGACUGGUCCUGACACUCAUGAGCGAAAGCGUGGGGGAGCGAUCCGG
rnacentral:rRNA from 1 species